rnacentral:lncRNA from 1 species
AGCCACCACCUCUCCCUGAAUGAACAAGCUACACUCCUUGGAACUUGAGUCUUCCUUUCAGUCAUCAUUAUAGCUUCAUUUCCUGUUGUUUGAUCGAUAUACUGAUCAUGAUAUUAUACAUUUUUCCCUGUAUGUGUGCGUGUGUAUUUUAUCUUUCCCUUCCUGUGUGCUUUCAUCUUGUAUACUUACCAUAAGAUUGUUGUUGUUUUUUCUUCUAUUUUGUUACUUGUUUUCUUUUCUCAAUGAAUAAUAAAUAUGAAACAAACUUUUAUGGUAUCUCAACUUUUAUAUAACAAAAAUCAACAUUAAUAUUUUAUCUUAUAUAAAGAUAAUAGAUAAAUCAUCCUAAGAAGUCUCAUUCCAAAUAACAUAAAAAAAACUAACGCAUAAAUAAUCCAAUAACAAUAACAUGAAUAAACUUUGUCAUCCACAAACUUUAAUCAAACAGACUUUAAUCAUAUGCAAACACAAAGUUCGUAACAACGAACUUAAAAAUAAUUUAUACCCACUUCUAAUCUAUUAAGAAACACUAAAGAUAUAAAAAAUAUAUAUAUAAAAAAAAAUAGAAUACAAUAACAAAUCCUUCCUUACAUAUUAAAAUAAUUCUAAUUAUCAUUGAGAGAGCAACUAUUACUCCUGUACUCAUCAUCUACAUUUAUAAGAUACAUCUUGUAAAAGAUAAUUCGCGAGUUACAUGAUAGAAAUAUAUACACACAAAACUGUUUUACCAAGUUGCAUCCAUUGGAGUUAUUUGUAUUCCAAAGGUAACAUAAUUUGAUAAAAUAUAAACACAAGGUUCAAUUUAUAUGAUGGCUUAUACAUACCUUAUUGAAAAAGUAUCAAAAACUUUAACUAAAUUGGUGAAUAGUAAGUCGAUUACAAUAUGAAUUUUUUAUAUUUUUUUUCAUAUUACAAUAAAAAAAAUAAUAAAGGGUUAAAGUUUCGGAUUUUAAUUUUACAAAUUUUUCUUUAAAAAAACAUGUGUGAUAAUUACUAAACGGAUAUUUAAUUACAUCAAUCAUUAACUAAGUUUAAAAAAUAUAAUUAAACAAAAAAAAUUGUUUUAAGAUUGUUACGCUUUUAUUGUACUAAAAACGAAAAUAUAUUAAUACUUAUUCUAUUCAACCUAUUACUUAUUUAAUAAAAUUUUACUAAGUGAAUUUUGUUAGUGUGUGUCUGUUUUGGUGAAUGAUAAGUGACAGCUUAAUGCUUACUUUUUCUUCUUAAAUUUAAUAGAUAUUUCACUACAAAUUUUUAAAUAAAAACUAAUUUAAAAUAAAAUUUUUAAAUAAAAAACUAAUUUAAAAUAAAAAAUAAUUAGUCAGUAUAUUAAUUAAAUUAAAUACUAUUUAAUCUGUUUCGAAACCUAAUUAGCAGUCCUUUAGUUACAUAAAUUAAUUUUUAUAUUUUGUAAUAAAUUUCCCAACAAUUUUUUUUAUAGAAAAAUAAAAUAAGUUUCUUGAUGAAAUACAUAUAAGUUAAAUUUUACAAAGAAGAAACAAUUGUCUCGUAUUACGAAUUAAAUAAAUAACUUAAAAGCCUUUUUCCCUAUUUUUUUUGAAUCUAUUCAUAGUAUCAAACUCCAGUAACAUACUAUGUGGGCCAAGGGUGACACCUGGAGAAAUGGGCCUAAAAUUCUUGUUGGGUCUUUCCUAUGACAGCAACAAUAGGUUUUUCUCCUUGCAACUCCGUAAUUUCUUCUCUCACCCUCAUAGUAUUAGAAAUGAUUAAGGUGUUAUUGUCUUAAUAACUCAAUCAAUUUAAAAUUAUGCUCUAAAAUAUGUAAUUCAAGUCAAAUUAAAUAAUUUAGAAUUAUCCGAAAUAUAUCUUGAAUCAAAUAAUAUGGAAUAACUACUUCUUGGAUUACAUAAUUUGAAACUAUAUCCAAAAUUACAUAAUCUUGUUUCCAAUUACGCAAUAUUAAAUAUUGUUCUGAAUCACCUAAUUAAGAAUCAUAUCUCAGACUGUGUCAUCAUGUUUUGAAUUACAUAACUUUAUUCCAAUUGUGUGAUUUUAUUCUAAAUUACCUAAUCUUAUUCUGAUUAUACAAUUCAUAAUAUUGUUCUAUAUUAUUAAACAAUCAUUUGUAUUACACAAUCUUAUUCCAAUUAUGUAAUCUUAUUUGGGAUUAUACCAUUAUAUGGUGCUCAUCAAAAGCGACAAAUGAAUUAGCUAAAGCUAAUAAAGUUAGAUGAACCAACUUUUGGGUUAAAGUCUUGUUAGAUACUAUAAAGAAAUAUACACUUUGUAUCCCUUUUUCUCUCAAUCUCCUUAUUGUUACAACAAAAUCUGAGUUUAAUAGUCAAAUGUUUUGUUCAAAUAGAGGAAGUUGAACUAACAAAAAGGAUUAGUAAGAUCCAAUUUGCUUCUACAAACAUACUUGAACUCAAACCAGUAUAUAAGAGCAAGCACCAUCCUUCUGCAUCAUACAGUCUCAAAACCAAAUCAUAUUUUGCAAUUGUUCUUCAUUACUUCUUGCAAUUAUCAGCUAUGGCUUCCACCAAAUCAUUCAUCACACCUUUUCUUCUUGCUCUGAUCUUCUCAAGCAUCAGCAUGAGCCUAGCAGCUCGCCAUCUGAUGCAAACAACAGCACCAAAUUUUGCAGGCAUUCCCUCUUUGCCUAACCCAACACUGCCACCUUUGCCUUCACUUCCAACACUUCCAUCACUUCCCACCACCAUUCCAUCACUUCCACAGCUCAACCUUCCUCCAAUGCCCUCAAUCCCCACCUUCACAAUUCCAACUACUAUGCCCUCCAUUCCAUUUCUCUCCCCACCACCUUCCACCUCCUCUCCUUAAACUUUCAUUUUCUUCAUCCUUUGCUACGUUGCAUGCAUGCAAUACAUAUCCAUGGCUUCAUUCCUUUCGUUUAUGGUGUUAUCAUAGUGAAUUUGUGACAGUGUAUUGUCUUUUCGAUUUCUGAACUUGUUGUUAUUCCUUGUACUUUUUCUUAUGUAAAAGAUUGUUACUGAUUACACAGUUAUACAACUAUGAUGUCUUUCACUUUUAAAAUCUUCCAACAUAGUUUUGUUUACAUCACUCAGAGUGUUUCACUUGAGACCUUGUAUUUUAUCUUUAAAUCACCAACCGAUUAAUAUUUGACGAAACAACGUUGCUCAAAAGAAUAGAACAGCAUUAAAAUACAUGGUUAGCUUUUGCCUCUGUAUACGAGAAAGUACUAAAGAGUUAGAGAAUAACGCACUCCUAACAUUUGAUUUCAAAUAUAAACACCGUUCUUUAAGGUGAUUUCUAGGCAAAAGCUCCAUCAAUUUUCCCCCAAAAUUUGUCAAUGUUUUUAUUUAUUAAUAAAAUAGGUAAGUCAUGAGGCAUAAUCACGACUUUGCUUCAUUAAAGUCGUCUUCCAUAAGUGCUCAUACUCACACGACUUUGACUUUAAUUAUAUGAGAUUUACAUUAAAGUCUGGUUUAUACUUAAUUUUAUUUUAAAAGUGUUUGUUUUUAUUUUUUUAAAAAUAGAAUAAUUAAUUGAAUUGUUGAAAAUUUCACAAAUUUUAUAACAUUUUUUGGUUCAUUCACUUAAGAAAAAUUUAGUUAUUUUUUAAUUAAAAAAAUUAUAAACUUAAACCAUAAACUUUAAACCUAUAAACUUUAGCAAAAAUGUCACAAUUAAAUUUUAACCCUAAAUUCAAAGGUAAAACCCUAAAUAAUAAAAUAUAAAAUUUAAACUUAAACCAUAAAUCUUAAAUCUUAAAUCUUCAAUCCUAAACCUAAAACAUAAACUAAAAGCCUAAAAUGCAAAAAUGCCUAAAAAAUACUCAAAGAAAUAAAAAAAACUAAUAAUAAAUGGUUGAUUUUUUGAAAUUUUAGUAUCACAGUCCUCUUCAACCAUUGGUCAUCGAAUUCCUUACUUCAUUUUGACCAACUUUCAUUUUUAACACGUCUUGAUCCAAUUUCUCUACCAAAAAUUAUGGCCAUUUAAUUUUUUCUUUUUAUACAAAACUUUAUAAAAUUUAUCAAAAUUUUAAUAACUCAAUUAAUUAUUCCAUUUAAAAAAUUAAAAAAAAAUUAAAAAACAUCAUUAAAAUGUGAAACUAUAUUCGACCUACCAAAACAAAUUCUUAGUCAUUUGAAAUAUUGUUAGUUUUAAAGUUCGAAACUCCUUCAUAAUUUUAUUCUUAAAAGACAUAUCAAAGAUUAAAAGAAGGUGUAUAUAAGUUGUAAUUGACCUCCUUCAAUAUCGAUAUGAUACUUUUUUUUCUACUUAAGUGUAUACUAUUGAAAUGGCCUCCUUCAAUAUGCUUCUCUCGUCUUUCUUCUUCAUUGUUUUAUCACUUAAAUGUUCAAUUUAUUGCCUGAUUUGGGAAAUUCUUCUGCUGGUAUAACUGUUCCUCCGUUUCCCCCAGCCUUCACCUUUCAUGCACUCUUCCACCUUUGUCAUCACUACCUCCCACAACUACCAAUCCUUCACUAGUAGCAUUACUAUAACAUAUACAUGCUCAACAGCAGAUAUAUAUGUAGCGAUAUCGAUGUUCCAUUGCAUUUAUGCAGUAAAAUAAAAGUUCAAGCACUAUUUUCUGUCAUAGCAUAAUAUGGCAAUUCCGUGUGAACGUUUUCUAAAACUUAUUUUGGAACCUAAGACGAUAUACAUUUAUACAUGUGCAAUAAUAACUACAACUCUUGUUGUACUCAAAAGAGGAAUGCAUGCAAGAACUUUUGAAACUUCAAAUGUUCUAAGUUUUUAAAAUUCUGAAACAAAUAAUAACAAUUUAAAAAAUGAAAAGUAAUAUUAUAAAAUAUAAUAAUAAUUUGUUGAAUAUAUUGCUUAUUUAUGUAUGUUUUGAUCAGAGAAAGUUAGAAGACAAACUAUUAGAAAAACAAUUAAAAAAAAAGUAUAUUGGGUGUAAAGGGUGACGUCUGGCAGCUGAAAUGAACUCUGUUAGAUCACCCAACUCAACCCUCAAAUAUGUAUGAGUUGUUCAUCCUACAUUUGACAAAUUGGAGACUAAAACCCAACAACCUUAUCAGUCCAACAUAAUAAAACUAUUAUUUAUUCAAAAACACGAGGAAGGUGAACGAACAAAAACAUUGGUUAGGUUCUGUUCGCUUCUCCAAACAAAGUUGAACUGAAACCAUAUUAGUUUGCCCACUGUCUCUCUAGCCCUAUAUAAGACCUUCAGCCUCUCAUAAUCUCAAACAACAUACAUACCAUUUUCAUAUUUACCAGUUUCUCUUCUUCAUUACUGCAAUCCAGUGAACCAUGGCCUCCAGCAAAUCAUUCAUCACACUUUUCCUUCUUGCUCUGACCUUCUCAGCCAUGAUGAGCAUGACCCUAGCAGCUCGCCAUCUUAUGCAAACAACUGCACCAAAUUUCCCUGGCAUUCCCUCUUUGCCUUCAAUUCCAACCCUUCCUCAGGGUAAUGUUCCACCAUUGCCCACUAUCCCAUCUCUGCCACAGCCUACCCUGCCAUCUAUGCCUACAACUUUGCCUCCACUUCCUAGCAACAUCCCUACCCUGCCAUCUAUGCCUACCACUUUGCCUCCACUUCCUAGCAACAUCCCUAACAUUCCAACAAUUCCACAGCUCAACGUUCCUCCAUUGCCCUCCAUCCCCACAUUCACAAUUCCAACUACUAUGCCCUCCAUCCCAUUCCUCUCCCCACCACCUUCCACCUCCACCCCUUAAAGUACCUUACAUUUCUUCAUCCUGGGCAAGCUCCUAUCUGAUUCUGAUUUCCUACCAGUGCCUAGUUGCAUGCAUGCUAUAGAUAUGGCCUGAUUACUUUUAUGUGAGAGUGUUGUGUGGUGUUUUCCUCCUACUUC